CCUGCUACCUGAGACCUGCUGCUUCCUCCCUGACCUGCACCCUCUCGUUGCCCAAGACCGGCCUCACUGCUCCUGCCUUUCGGCCUCGGACCAUCGGAACGUCGUGCAACGGGACUGCUGCUGGAUCCUGGUGUGAAUCGUGUUUAAAUAUCACAGAAUCACAGAAUUGCAGUGGUUGGAAGAAACCUCCAGAGAUCAACAAGUCCAAAAAAAACUGCAGAGAUACAAAGCUGCACAGGUGCAAGACCCUGCACUUGCUUUUGUUAAACCUCAUCUCAUUUUCUGCUGCCCAGCUCUCCAGUCUGUCCAGAUCUUGCUGAAUGGCAACACAGCCUUCAGGUGUGUCAGCCACUCCUCCCAGCUUUGUAUCAUCGGCAUACUAACUAGGGGUGGACACUCUCCCAUCAUCAAGGUCAUCGAUGAAGAUACUGAACGAGACCGGACCCAGCACUGACCCCUGGGGAACACUGCUAGUCACAGGUCUCCAACCAGAC
rnacentral:lncRNA from 1 species